CUUCUGUGAUGAUUCGAUGACGAGACGGAGUAGGAACUUCUCUGGUUCUGAAGGUGACCGGUUCAUGAUCACGUUCUGUGGUUUUGCUCCAGUUCUUCAGAUUCAGGGUUCCUUUUAACGUGAAGACACAGAGGCAUUUGUCUGAGAAGG